rnacentral:rRNA from 1 species
AUUGAACGCUGGCGGCAUGCCUUACACAUGCAAGUCGAACGGCAGCACGGGAGCAAUCCUGGUGGCGAGUGGCGAACGGGUGAGUAAAGUAUCGGAACGUGCCCAGUCGUGGGGGAUAACGUAGCGAAAGUUACGCUAAUACCGCAUACGAUCUAUGGAUGAAAGCGGGGGAUCGCAAGACCUCGCGCGAUUGGAGCGGCCGAUAUCAGAUUAGGUAGUUGGUGGGGUAAAGGCUCACCAAGCCGACGAUCUGUAGCUGGUCUGAGAGGACGACCAGCCACACUGGGACUGAGACACGGCCCAGACUACCACGGGAGGCAGCAGUGGGGAAUUUUGGACAAUGGGCGCAAGCCUGAUCCAGCCAUGCCGCGUGCAGGAUGAAGGCCUUCGGGUUGUAAACUGCUUUUGUACGGAGCGAAAAGGUUUGACUUAAUACGUUGGACUCAUGACGGUACCGUAAGAAUAAGCACCGGCUAACUACGUGCCAGCCGCCGCAGUAA